rnacentral:lncRNA from 12 species
CUCAGUCAGUUGAGUGUCUGACUCUUGAUUUUCACUCAGGUCAUGAUCCCAGUGUUGUGAGAUCAAAGAGUUCUGUGUCGGGCUCAGUGCUCAGCGCUCAGCAUGGAGUCUGCUGGAGAUUCUCUCCCUCUCCCUCUCCCUCUGCUCUCUCUCUCUCUCUCAAAUAAAUAAAUAAAUCUUAAAAAGAAAAUUUCCACCAUGUCUCUCUCCAUCUCUCUCUACCCCUCUGCCCAUUUGUUACCUAUCAUCUACCUGUCUAUCUAGGGUCUAGACUGAAGAAAUGAUGAUGAGUGUUUCCAGGAGAUCUGCACUUUGGGAACCAAGACGGUUGUUGUAAAUGUGUGCUUAGUAUGAAGGACAGAAGCGCAUGAAAUCCCACUCAGAAGCGGUGAUUCUUCCCAGAACUUCCUCACUGACUGGAGAAGACAAUUCAAUGAUGUUCUGGUGCCAGAAACCUAGAGCUCCUUGAGGUCAUCUAGGAAGGUCA